AUAGAUAUAUAGAUGCAUGAAAUGGAACGUAUAAUGCGUGAGCGAGAUAAAAGAUGGAAAACAGACGAAGUUAGGAAUUGGGUAGAACGACGAACGCCAGACAGAAAAAAUAAUAAAAGAAAUAUUUACAUUGAGAAACGAUUUGUUAGUUUCGAAUUAAUCUCACAUAGAUACAAUAAACUCUUCGGUUUUUACAAUUAUACCUUAAAUAUUUUGGAAAAAAAAUACCCUGACGACGCAGGCAAUAGGUUACAAAACAUAAAUAAUAAGUUACAUGAAACGAUCUAGGAAGACGAAUGACCAAACAUUUAAGAUGUAGAGGUAUACAAACUGUCAGUAAAGUUUGAAAAAUGUAAAUGAAAUAUGAAGUACAUAAAUAAGUAUUACAUACAUCUACUCUAAGACUUUAUAAUAACGGUUUCAUUAACUUCAGGGUCUUCAGGUAGUUUGGCGACUAUCAAUAUCGUAGUGGUGUAGUGUUUCUCUCAACAAAUUAGCGUCUGCGCCGAACGUGUAUAUGCAAAAAAAAAAUCUAACACGGACUUGUAUAUAAAUUACCACGAAUUUCUACUUAAACAAGUCUUAAUUCAUCAAGAUCCAGCACCGACGGUUCGUCCUAUUUCUUUGUCGAGAAAUUGGAAGAGUCAAUUCUAAGUUAAAAUAUUCGUAGUAAAUUGUGUAAAUAAAAUACCGCUUCCUCGAUUCAAAAUAUAAAUAAUCGCGAUCAAUAUAUGUCCAGGCAAACCGGCAAACGAAAGCUAAUCCAAAUUCCAUUACCAAGAAAUAUGCUACAUUCAUAAGGUGACAAAAAUAUUAACUCGGGUAUUCCCUGCGUCCAAUGUUUAUUUGCGCGCUUUCGACGUAUGCAACAGUCGCAUAACACAUCGUACAAUCCCCUUUUACUGCUUAUUUGAAUCUUACAACACAAUACUUGCGCAGCAAUGUAUAUUUUAUUGGUUGUAAGAGAAGAUGCACUGGGAAGUUGCGAUAUAUUGGUGCAUUCGGCACGUAGCGAGACUGUGUGAGUAUAAAUGUCCAGCUUUACAGCGUCUUGGAUCAGAUACGGAAAGGUUUCCACCAUGAGAGCCAGUUUUAUUUUCGCUGCAGUGCUCCUAAUUUCGGUAGCCUUCGCUUCGGCGAAGAGCAUCGAAGACCCCCAUGAGUCAAGCGUUUUGGUGAAGAGGGACACAAUACACAUCGACCCUCCUCUACCAAGAUGCGUCUUCUACGAGUGCGUCGCGAGCUGUAAACAGCGGAGACACAGUGGAGGCAUCUGCACCAUGAACGGAUGUUUCUGCGUGGGUUAAUUCUUCUAGUAUUAGCUAGUAGUAAUAUGAACACGAAGAAAGAAAGAAAAAUUAGUUUAAUUAGUGAUGACUUCACUUUAUAGUUUACUUCUAGCAUUGGCAAUUCCACGCAAUUUGAAACCUUGAUAUAGCGAUGCAGUAUUUUACCGAAGUAGAUGUUGAUCGACAUUGUUCUUUCAUUAAAUAAACACCGAUGCAUCUUUAAUCCGUAGCAACUAUAUGUUUAACAAUCCCCCUAUGUUGUGUAAUUUCAUAAGAUCUUCACACUACCAUCGUUUUCUUUGGACUGUAUUUAGCUAUUGCAUCAAUGCAUAUACCGUAAAAUAUUAUUUAUUAAAGUUUUUUUUAAAUUACA